rnacentral:lncRNA from 1 species
CUGAGUUCAUUUCAGCUCAAUUUCAGGUAAUACCCAUAUCCAAUUUCACUGAGUCGUUGUGGGUUUGGCUAGUUUUUGGCUUCUUUUUUUUAUUGUAAUAUUUGCUGAUAAGAAGAUAUAUCUGAGUUGGGUUACUAUUAUUUUAGUUUUCUUAUUUUUUUUGUGUUUUAUUUUAUUGAAAGCUGUGGCAUUUUCUUUGCUAUGGGAGUUUUGCGGCUAAGGUGAGAGAGAAUCCGUGAAUUUUCAGUCUAAGGUCAGUAUGCAGUGCUGUUUUAUUUGCUCAAGUUUGAAGGAAUUUUUAGUCGGUUCAAUUGUCUUAAGGAUUGAUUGAAUCUUCACGUGACUGGUUCUUAUUUUGAUAAUUAAUAUGGGGUGUUCCAAUAACUUUUUGUUUGUAAAGGGAUUUUUUUUAGUAAAGGGACAAUUUUUUUUUUUUUGUAUAUAAAGGGACAAGGUGGAUGAUUUUCAUUUGUGGGCAUUGCAG